GAACCGGACGAACGUUAUUCGGAAUCACUGGGCUUAAAGAGUGCGUAGGCGGCUUGGUAGGUUGGGUGUGAAAUCCCACAGCUCAACUGUGGAACUGCGCUCAAAACCCCCAAGCUUGAGGAAGGCAGAGGUGAGCGGAACUGAUGGUGGAGCGGUGAAAUGCGUUGAUAUCAUCAGGAACACCGGUGGCGAAGGCGGCUCACUGGGCCUUUUCUGACGCUGAGGCACGAAAGCUAGGGUAGCGAACAGGAUUAGAUACCCUGGUAGUCCUAGCUGUAAACGAUGAGCACUUGAUCGAGGGGACCUCCCACAUCCCCUCGGUCGUAGCGAAAGUGUUAAGUGCUCCGCCUGGGAGUAUGGUCGCAAGGCUG
rnacentral:rRNA from 1 species